UCAGAACUAUACCAUGUGAUAGACACAUGUGCCCGCACAGAACGUGGAUAUUAGUCAGCCUGUGGUGCCGAGUUCUCCUCUCUCUUCUUAUUGAUCCUUUGGAGUAUUUCACCCCUCUCCGCCCCUCGUUUUCCCCUGGGAGAAGCCCGAAGGACAUUUCUCCUUCUUCCGUAGCAAUGGGAAGAGGACUGGCAGGGAGGGUGGCAAGUUGUUGGCGGCCGUUUGACUCUGGGUUUCUCGUACCUGCUCUGGCAUGUUUAACGGCAUGUGGCACAAGUGCUGGCACGUAGGAGACACCCAGCAAACGUUCACUCUCCUUUCAGCUGUCAUUAGCACAGGUAAUUAAGAACAGGAGCUGAUCGACUUCACGUAUCUGUGCAGAGAUACAUCUGUAAUUAAAGUUUUAAUUAAAGAAACACCAGACCAGGCAGAUGGUUCUUAUCCCCGCAUCCUGUAAACUAAACAGCCAUGGCUUUUUGAUCUUGCAAACAAGCAAAGCAGAGGGUAGCAGCGGCGCUCCCAGAAGUGGACCGGAGGGGAGAGAUAGUCUUAUUAACUAGCCAUAAUCUAAUUUUGGUAGCACUCUGUGCGAUGCCAAAGCCAGGGAUAAUCAUCGCAGUUUGAAAUGGAAAUUCAAUACAUCAAAGUUCUGUCCCAGCCAAAGCUUUUAAGCCUCAAGUCAAGGGCAUUACCAGAGCCCAGCUGGUAUAUCACAAGGCAUGUGGUUUCGUGCUAGAUCACAAAAGCUGACAAAGUGUUAUUUAGGAUCAUCAGCUAAAUACAGUAUUAAAUUAGCACGCCAUCAUCCUGACUUUUCAGGUUCUUGCCCCCGUGUAGCAGUGCAGGACUGAGAUGGGACGGGUGCUGCCUGCCUCAUGUGUGUCCUCUGUGCUGUGUCACGGUGACCUGAGUGACCAGCCAGCUGCAGAAUGAAAAAACGAAACCAUCACUGGGAUACCAGGAAAAGACAGAUCUCAGGUCUUAUCAUUUCUGGGAAAAAACCUGCCCCCAGUGGCCCUGGCCAUUUGCUCCGCUAUGUCCCUGUCAGCAGGAGGCCAGAGCCGUGCAGGCAGGGGUCAGGCAGUUCACUUUGACCUCUUGGGGUUCAUCCCCUCCUUGACCCCCAAUUUCUUACCCUUCCUCAUAGUCUUUUACUUAUCCAGGCACACGGUUUUCUGGCAUUCAGCACAGGGAGGCACUUAUACACCUGAACUCUCUACUAAUGGAUAUAGGUGUUUUUUUUUUUAAAUUUAUUUUAUUUAUUUAUUUUUGGCUGUGUUGGGUCUUUGUUGCUGCGCGCGGGCUUUCUCUAGUUGCGGCGAGCGGGGUUACUCUUCGUUGCGGUGUGUGGGCUUCUCAUCGCGGUGGCUUCUCUUGUUGCGGAGCAUGGGCUCUAGGUGCGUGGGCUUCAGUAGUUGUGGAUUGCAGGCUUCAGUAGUUGUGGCUCACGGGCUCUAGAGCGCAGGCUCAGUAGUUGUGGCACACAGGCUUAGUUGCUCCACGGCAUGUGGGAUCUUCCUGGACCAGGGCUCAAACCCGUGUCCCCUGCAUUGGCAGGCGGAUUCUUAACCACUGUGCCACCAGGGAGGCCCUAUAGGUGUGUUUUUACCACCUACAUCUCACUCAUUUGUUUCCCACUUGGUAGAACCAAUACUGAAGAUGUUCCUUAUUUCACAGGGAAACAUCUUAGAGGGUCAGGAGGGCAGUUGUCUGCUUUGCUUAAUGGUGUGUGACCCUAUCGUUCCUGUUUCUUUUAAAGGAAGUAGGGGGUUCUCACUGGAAGAAGAGCCCGUGUGACACCAGGAUAUGUAUCAGUAUCUUCACAUUAAAGACUUGUCCCCAGAACGGUAGAACUCGGAAGUACUUUAGCUCACGUUAAUACCAUUUAUAAAUCAAAACUCAGUCCUCUUAGGAGAGCGGCCGAAUCCAUAGUGCUGUGAUGGUUGUGAGUGACUGAGUGUGUAUGACGGGUGGAUGGAAAUGUUUUCACCACCUUUUUGCUCGGGAAUGACUUUUAUUUGACGAGAUGUUCUUUGUUUUUAGAAGUCAAUUAAAUGUCGGCUACUUUGAGUAAGCAGUCUUUUGUGCUUGUAUCCAGGAAAUUUGGUCAGGCCUGUACAGAACUGUGCUACUGGGUUGGCAUUUUGCAUGCGGAAUUUGAGCCUGACUAUGGAAUCUGUUUCUUCUCCAAUCUGGUUAGAGACCUGAACACGUGACCUCUGAGGCGGCAGCACAGUUUGAGAUCGUAGAAGGCCCCUUACGAAGUGACACUGGUGCUCCUCGGAGCACGGCGGUUAUGGCUCACUUCUAGGUUUCUCCACAGAGAGAAGCAUCCGCAAACACACCUGGAAUAGCUCUCACCACACACUUGUUCAUGGGCGCAGCAAGAAGAGAGAUCCACAGAGCUGGAGCCGUGAGGGCUGACAUAUUGGAAUGAAAGCUGGCAGAAUUCGUAGGGAGAGCUUUGCCAUCCUGCCAGCUCCAUAUCUGGCUUCAAGACAAUUCUAUUAGUGAAUUAAUUGUACUCAAAACCUGAAAUUAAUUUGAACUGAAUGUUACUAAAAAGAUUAAAGUGACCCAGUCUUGCUUCA